rnacentral:misc_RNA from 1 species
AAGUCGUAACAAGGUUUCCGUAGGUGAACCUGCGGAAGGAUCAUUAACACGUAUCCAACGUUAAACAACCCUGUGAACUUUCAGCGCUCUUGUAACCCAGGCGGAACAGCAAUCCCGGUAAAUCAAUGGCGGAACAGUUUUGAUUCGGGACCUCUCCAAAAGGUAUCAAGUUACAAUCGAGCUAAUGAUCGACCUCUGGCAACCGUGAUGCGUUUAUCCGUACUCAGUGGAUCGUUCUGCACUGCUUAGGGAAACCAUGCCACUGCCCCUACACCGGCCGGCAGACAUGUCACAGGGCUAUAUGCCCCUUCAUUCACACCUUGCCUAAUCAUGCCCCGCGGAAACGCCGGGCACAAAAACUGAACAACUGUUAACAAUGGAUAUCUUGGUUCUC